rnacentral:tRNA from 1 species
GGACGAAUAGCUCAGCUGGUUAGAGCGCCUCUCUUACACAGAGGAGGUCAGAGGUUCGAAUCCUCUUUCGUCCA